rnacentral:rRNA from 1 species
CCUGGUGGCUCUGGCGGGGUCCCCCCACCCGAUCCCAUCCCGAACUCGGCCGUGAAAUACCCCAGCGCCCAUGGUACUGCGUCCUAAGACGCGGGAGAGUAGGUCGCCGCCAGGU